AUUGAACGCUGGCGGCAGGCCUAACACAUGCAAGUCGAACGAGUGGCGGACGGGUGAGUAAUGUCUGGGAAACUGCCUGAGGGAGGGGGAUAUCCACUGGAAACGGUCUCUAAUACCGCAUACUCUCAGAUGCGCCCAGAUGGGUUUAGCUUGUUGGUGGGGUAACGGCGCAUCAAGGCGACGAUCCCUAGCUGGUCUGAGAGGAUGACCAGCCACACUGGAACUGAGACACGGUCCAGACUCCUACGGGAGGCAGCAGUGGGGAAUAUUGCACAAUGGGCGCAAGCCUGAUGCAGCCAUGCCGCGUGUAUGAAGAAGGCCUUCGGGUUGUAAAGUACUUUCAGCGGGGAGGCGUUACCCGCAGAAGAAGCACCGGCUAACUCCGUGCCAGCAGCCGCGGUAAUAC
rnacentral:rRNA from 1 species